AUUGAACGCUGGCGGCAGGCUUAACACAUGAAAGUCGAACGAGUGGCGGACGGGUGAGUAAUGCUUGGGAAUCUAGCUUAUGGAGGGGGAUAACUAAGGGAAACUGUAGCUAAUACCGCGUACAAUAGGAUGAGCCCAAGGGGGAUUAGGUAGUUGGUGAUGGAACGGCUCACCAAGACGACGAUCUCUAGCUGGUCUGAGAGGCUGAACGGCCACACUGGGACUGAGACACGGCCCAGACUCCUACGGGAGGCAGCAGUGGGGAAUCUUGCGCAAUGGGGGCAACCCUGACGCAGCCAUGCCGCGUGUAUGAAGAAGGCCUUCGGGUUGUAAAGUACUUUCAGUCGGGAGGCGUUAUCGACAGAAGAAGCACCGGCUAACUCCGUGCCAGCCGCCGCGGUAAUUC
rnacentral:rRNA from 1 species